GUGUAUUUUAACCAACUGCUGAUGUUCUAUCUAGACUGGAGGAAAUUCUCCCCGGCCUUGAACAGACGCUGUGAGAUUUUAGAUUUCAAGAGACCUAAAUUAUCUUCCACGUAGCCUCUUACUGCGCCCCCGCGGCCCGCUUGCCCCAGGCCAAGCCCUCGGGCGCGGCUGGGACACAGCGAGAACGCGCGGUGCGCUGGGGCUGCCCCCUCGCAACUCCCUCGCAUUGUCUGCCCGCCUCCCAGUGUCUCCGCUUCCCAGGCGCGCUCGGGUUAUUGUUCUCCCUUCGCGGGCAGGGAGGAGGGUAGGACCGGACGGGGGAGGCAGCCGGGGGAUGCGGGAGGCGGCGAUCGGCUGCCACCCGAGCAGGGGCGCCUCGGUCCUUCGCACCCCGCCGUCCCUCCGCUGAAGACCGUGCGCCCCGGAGUGGGUCUAACGCAACCCUGAGCUCGGGUUCUGCAGAGGACCGGGUCCCCUGCCCCUGCCUGCAGGUCUCCAGCUCCUAGGAGGGAGAGGGGCGCGGGCCAGGGCGGGGAGCGGGAAGCCGGGCGGGCGUCCCGGUGCCGCGCAGUGGCUCCCGCGGGCUGCCUGGGCGCUUUCGGCUCGGGGGAGGGACGCUAUGACGCACCCUGUCGGUAUUAGAACACUUCACCUUCUAUUUAUAGACACUCCUCCGACCGCGGACCUAGCUGGCCCUCCCUCUCCUUGCCUUCAUCGUGAACGAAAAAUCCUACCUAGAAUGGGAGAUGCUAAUACACAAUGAUCGGAAAGAAUUCAAUUUUGUGUAUCCCUUUGUAAUUCCAAGUAUGAAUUGCAGGUCUAAUGAUCUCUCUCUGGCCCAAGGAAUUCCCCAAUUUUCUAAAGCUUUAAAACCUACACUACUUUAUUUUACAUCCCUUCUAAAUAUGUCAAAUUCGUCUCUUGUGAGUUCAUGAAAUAUUCGCCAAGAAUUUGCUCAAGCUGGGUAAGACGUAAGCCCAUCGAAUUCAGGGAAGGGAUGUUUCUAGCUGGCUUUCUGUAUCUGCGGAACCCUAGCAAUUCUAAACGUAGCAUUUAUUCGGGAAGAGAGAGCAUGUAAAGGAAAAAUAUUGCACAUUUCAAACAAAAGCAAAGUUUGUCUUAGUGUUGUUGUUUUUUUUAAUUGUGGCUUUUGGAUACUGACUUCGUGCUUUUAGCUGUACACUAACCGUGUAAUUAUAGGUGAUUAAAAAUAGUUCUUACCUAGUCACGUUAACAUUUGCAGUAAUUAAAACGGGGAAUUUUUUUAACGGUAAUUUAUUUCUUAUAAUUUGGUUGGUCUGCUGCAGUCAGCACUGAAGAGGAAGCCUGAUUAUCUUUCAUCUUGGUUUCUAGUCAGUUUCACUUUCUAAACUCCACAUACUCCAGAGUCGACUGCCUUUUAGAUUUAUUAAGAAAAAGGAUUGGAUAUACAUACAUAGAUAUAGGUUUGUUUUUUAAAGCCUAACUAAACCAUGGCUUGGUUACCAUGCCAAUUAUUCUAUAACCACAAAAUUCAAGUAGAGUAGCAUACAAUGUACUGUUCUUGCUAACAACUAGUCUAUGAAGUGGGGGUGUCUGUAAAAACAGCAUUAUUACAUGGUUUUGCUGAGGAGAGUACUGUGCCCUACCACUGUAUGAGUACUUAAACAACAACCACAAUAGCAAUUGUUAACAGUGCAUUCAUUAUAAAACACCCAUUUGAUGGCAGGACCCUCAUGAAAGACAAUUUGGCAACUGCACUUACCCUUGGAUCCAGUCAUUUCAUUUCUAGAAGUUUAUGCUACAGAUGCAGUACUUACAUGUGAAGUCAUUGGUUGUUGCAAUGUGUGUACUAGCAAAAGGUUAGAAACAAUAUUAAUGUCCCACAAUCAUGGUACAUCUAUAUAAUGAACUGUUAUGUGGCCUUGAAGAAGAUUAAAACAAUCCCUUUAUGUACUGAUAGGGAAGUAUCUCCAA
rnacentral:lncRNA from 10 species